rnacentral:rRNA from 1 species
CCUACGGGGGGCUGCAGUGGGGAAUAUUGGACAAUGGGGGCAACCCUGAUCCAGCCAUGCCGCGUGUGUGAAGAAGGCCCUCGGGUUGUAAAGCACUUUCAGUGAGGAAGAACGCCUGGUGGUUAAUACCCAUCAGGAAAGACAUCACUCACAGAAGAAGCACCGGCUAACUCCGUGCCAGCAGCCGCGGUAAUACGGAGGGUGCGAGCGUUAAUCGGAAUUACUGGGCGUAAAGCGCGCGUAGGUGGCUUGAUAAGCCGGUUGUGAAAGCCCCGGGCUCAACCUGGGAACGGCAUCCGGAACUGUCAAGCUAGAGUGCAGGAGAGGAAGGUAGAAUUCCCGGUGUAGCGGUGAAAUGCGUAGAGAUCGGGAGGAAUACCAGUGGCGAAGGCGGCCUUCUAGACUGACACUGACACUGAGGUGCGAAAGCGUGGGUAGCAAACAGGAUUAGAUACCCUGGUAGUC